UGGCACGGAGAAUGCUCUGUCCCUGCGCUGGCACCAGUGGUGCCACACCAAAGAUCUUGUCCCAUCCAGUGCUGUGUGUAACCACAGCUGAAAUCACACUGCUGGCAGCUGCAGUUCUCUGCAGAAUCCCUCCACCCUGACCUGACACAUCUUCAAACUGCCUUGCACAGAACUGCACCAUCUACUAAAAAAAAAGUUAAAACAGUAUUUUUCUCUUUUGCUUCAGCAAUAUGCCCAACCUUUUCCUUUCCCCACUUUUAUUUAUGACUCCUCUCUGCUGUCUCUGCCACUGAGGUAUUCAUCCACGUGUUCCCAUCAUUUCAGGUUCCCUUCCUGGGCCAUCCAAUCCCUCAGCUGUUACAGCUCCUCAUAACCCACAUUUUGUGAACAACCACAACUCCCACAGUGAUGUCCAUUUCAGCCCAUUCCACACAGAAGCGGAAAAAUUUCUUCCUGAGAAGGAAUUAAUGCAAGAGAAGUGGAGAUCAGUAAAUGACUACAAUAAAAAUACCCUUCAGCUUUCCUUUUUAUUCUUCCAUAUUUUUCCAGCAGCUGCUUAAAAACUGGUAUUCAGCAAUAAAAUGACCUGAUAACAUUUAGGUCUUUGAGACAUAGAUAUUUUAUUUACUGAAAAAGUGUUACUAAACCACUUUACAAAAACAUUCACCAGGCUUUGCAGCACUUCCAGGAAAAUGCAUACAAUUCCUCCUCUCUUUAUGCAAUCAUUGUUUGCUCCUGUUCAAGCUGACAGAUGGUAUGAAAGUUUUGCACUUGACAUCCAUAAUUGUCUUUCCCACAGGCGUGUGCUCAUCGAUGAUGUGCUCAUUGCAUCACCUCCUGACUUGGAACAUUUUUUUAAAAAGCUGUUUCACAUAUGAAAUCCUGGGAAAGACCUGUCUAAAGCACUGUGUCCAAGGAUGAAAAAUAAAUGAAAGCUCCAGUGGUGCCGUUACCCAGCAGAGCUGAUGGAUUGCACUCUCCUGUGGCUGCUUUCAGCUGCUGUGUCUCGUGAACCAUGCUGCUAAUUUCACAUCUCAGUUACUGCAAAAAUGCUAAAUAAAGGUUUUGUUGUUGUUUUUUAUUUCCA